AGUCACUGACAUUAGAUACCCGCGUAGUCCAGGGUGUAAACGCUGCAGACUUGGUGUUGGGAACCCUUCGGGGGUGUCCAGUGCCGGAGAGAAGUUGUUAAGUCUGCUACUUGGGGAGUACGUCCGCAAGGAUGAAACUUAAAGGAAUUGGCGGGGGAGCACCGCAACGGGAGGAGCGUGCGGUUUAAUUGGAUUCAACACCGGAAAACUCACCAGUGAAGACUGUUACAUGAAAGCCAGGCUGAUGACCUUGCUAGAUUUUCAG
rnacentral:rRNA from 1 species